UCUUGAAGGAAAAUUUCAGCGAGGAGUUUAUUUCACUGGCUCCGAUUACUGUGAAUUAGGUUUUUUUUAAAAAAAAAUAAAGUUUAAAAUGAGCCAAUAAACGUUCGUAUUCUUAAAGGACAAUAUUUGCAGCUCGGGGUUGACAUGAGGGGGUCCUUGGCGCUCUUUGAACUUGGUUGUUUUGUUGCAGACGUUUCAUUACCCAAACUAGGUAACCUGAUCACGGGUAGAAGGAUAGAAUUUACUGUUUGCGUUCGUGUUUUUCGUGGAGGCUAUUGUGUGCGCGCCUACUGUAUUUGAGAUCGGCUGUGACAGCAGUAAUGGAUGCCUUCGAUUAUUAUUACUGUAUUGAAGGAGGAGUCCGUGACUCUCAUGUAUUGAAUGUCUGAGUCAACAACAAGCGUUAUGCGACAAUCGAAGAGAUGCCCAAGAUGUUCGGAAGAGGCGCUUGAGGACCCGCGCCUCGCAGGGAGGAGGGCGGCGCCGCGGCUUAUUUAACUGUCCGCAGUUCACGCGUUGAUACUAGAGCAGCUGUUGUCUUCGUCAUCGGUCGGUCUCGUCAUCAUGCGCAAAACGGUCCCUUCCCCCGCCUACCCGCAGGCGGAGUGGGUGGCAGCGGAGGCGAUUCCUCGGGUGAUUGAUUGAUAUGCAUGUACAUAAAUGUCUACUCUGUCAGCUGAUAUUCACGAACGAUCCAAAAGGUAGAAAACUGGCCAAGAUAUUUCCUUUGGUGGAGAAAUUAAUACUGACCUGAAACGGUGAAAAUUUGAAUUUCGUGCCUUCUAAAUUAUUGAUAUUGCAAUGAUCAACUAGCUUGCAAACUGCCAAGUUUUCGUACCAAAUUUGUCCACUGUAUGUAUAGACAUAUUAAUGAACACAAUGCAAAUAAAAAUCAAAGCAUCUUUCCAAUUC